CGCAUAUUGCGCCCUUUGGUAUUCCGAAGGGCAUGCCUGUUCGAGCGUCAUUAUCACCCCUCAAGCCCCCGGCUUGGUGUUGGACUUCGUCGUGGAAUCCCCUACGACGGGCCUCAAAGACAGUGACGCCGUCCCAGAGGGAACCGGUACGAGGAGCUUUCUAAUUAAGCAUGUACCUGGGAAGACUUUGUGGGCGGAGGUCUCCAACCUUUUUUCUAAGUGUUGACCUCGGAUCAGGUAGGGAUACCCGCUGAACUUAA
rnacentral:misc_RNA from 1 species